rnacentral:rRNA from 1 species
UAGAGUUUGAUCCUGGCUCAAGAUGAACGCUAGCUACAGGCUUAACACAUGCAAGUCGAGGGGCAGCAUGGUCUUAUCUUGCUAAGGCCGAUGGCGACCGGCGCACGGGUGAGUAACACGUAUCCAACCUGCCGUCUACUCUUGGACAGCCUUCUGAAAGGAAGAUUAAUACAAGAUGGCAUCAUGACUCCGCAUGUUCACAUGAUUAAAGGUAUUCCGGUAGACGAUGGGGAUGCGUUCUAUUAGAUAGUAGGCGGGGUAACGGCCCACCUAGUCUUCGAUGGAUAGGGGUUCUGAGAGGAAGGUCCCCCACAUUGGAACUGAGACACGGUCCAAACUCCUACGGGAGGCAGCAGUGAGGAAUAUUGGUCAAUGGGCGCAGGCCUGAACCAGCCAAGUAGCGUGAAGGAUGACUGCCCUAUGGGUUGUAAACUUCUUUUAUAAAGGAAUAAAGUCGGGUAUGGAUACCCGUUUGCAUGUACUUUAUGAAUAAGGAUCGGCUAACUCCGUGCCAGCAGCCGCGGUAAUACGGAGGAUCCGAGCGUUAUCCGGAUUUAUUGGGUUUAAAGGGAGCGUAGAUGGAUGUUUAAGUCAGUUGUGAAAGUUUGCGGCUCAACCGUAAAAUUGCAGUUGAUACUGGAUAUCUUGAGUGCAGUUGAGGCAGGCGGAAUUCGUGGUGUAGCGGUGAAAUGCUUAGAUAUCACGAAGAACUCCGAUUGCGAAGGCAGCCUGCUAAGCUGCAACUGACAUUGAGGCUCGAAAGUGUGGGUAUCAAACAGGCUUAGAUACCCUGGUAGUCCACACGGUAAACGAUGAAUACUCGCUGUUUGCGAUAUACGGCAAGCGGCCAAGCGAAAGCGUUAAGUAUUCCACCUGGGGAGUACGCCGGCAACGGUGAAACUCAAAGGAAUUGACGGGGGCCCGCACAAGCGGAGGAACAUGUGGUUUAAUUCGAUGAUACGCGAGGAACCUUACCCGGGCUUAAAUUGCAGAUGAAUUACGGUGAAAGCCGUAAGCCGCAAGGCAUCUGUGAAGGUGCUGCAUGGUUGUCGUCAGCUCGUGCCGUGAGGUGUCGGCUUAAGUGCCAUAACGAGCGCAACCCUUGUUGUCAGUUACUAACAGGUUCUGCUGAGGACUCUGACAAGACUGCCAUCGUAAGAUGUGAGGAAGGUGGGGAUGACGUCAAAUCAGCACGGCCCUUACGUCCGGGGCUACACACGUGUUACAAUGGGGGGUACAGAGGGCCGCUACCACGCGAGUGGAUGCCAAUCCCAAAAACCUCUCUCAGUUCGGACUGGAGUCUGCAACCCGACUCCACGAAGCUGGAUUCGCUAGUAAUCGCGCAUCAGCCACGGCGCGGUGAAUACGUUCCCGGGCCUUGCACACAGCGCCCGUC